rnacentral:rRNA from 1 species
GACGAACGCUGGCGGCGUGCUUAACACAUGCAAGUCGAACGAGUGGCGAACGGGUGAGUAACACGUGGGUGAGAUGCCCUGCACUUCGGGAGAAGCCUGGGAAAAUGGGGCUGAUACCGGAGAGUGUGGGAUGGGACCGGGGCCUAUCAGCUUGUUGGUGGGGUAAUGGCUACCAAGGCGCGACGGGUAGCCGGCCUGAGAGGGUGGCCGGCCAAAUUGGGACUGAGACACGGCCCAGACUCCUACGGGAGGCAGCAGUGGGGAAUAUUGCACAAUGGGCGCAAGCCUGAUGCAGCCAUGCCGCGUGUAUGAAGAAGGCCUUAGGGUUGUAAAGUACUUUCAGCGGGGAGGCGUUACCCGCAGAAGAAGCACCGGCUAACUCCGUGCCAGCCGCCGCGGUAAUAC